GAUCAUGGCUCAGGAUGAACGCUAGCUACAGGCUUAACACAUGCAAGUCGAGGGGCAGCAUGAAACUUAGCUUGCUAAGUUUGAUGGCGACCGGCGCACGGGUGAGUAACACGUAUCCAACCUACCGUUUACUACGGGAUAGCCUUCUGAAAAGGAGAUUAAUACCGUAUGGUAUUCUAAAGUUUCAUGACACUAGAAUUAAAGGUUUACCGGUAAUCGAUGGGGAUGCGUUCCAUUAGAUAGUAGGCGGGGUAACGGCCCACCUAGUCAGCGAUGGAUAGGGGUUCUGAGAGGAAGGUCCCCCACAUUGGAACUGAGACACGGUCCAAACUCCUACGGGAGGCAGCAGUGAGGAAUAUUGGUCAAUGGGCGAGAGCCUGAACCAGCCAAGUAAGCGUGAAGGAUGACUGCCCUAUGGGUUGUAAACUUCUUUUAUAAAGGAAUAAAGUGGUCCACGUGUGGAUUUUUGUAUGUACUUUAUGAAUAAGGAUCGGCUAACUCCGUGCCAGCCGCAGC
rnacentral:rRNA from 1 species